rnacentral:rRNA from 1 species
UGUAGUGGAUUACCAUGGUGAUGACGGGUAACGGGGAAUUAGGGUUGAUUCCGGAGAAAAGGCCUGAGAGACGGCCAUUACUUCUAAGGAAGGCAGCAGGCGCAAGGGAUGACCUAUUAAGUGAAAACAUUAAAUCAUUUUAUAUUGACUCUGAAGUGCUAAAGUAUGGGGUUCAAAUGGGGGUUGUAUUCCCAAUAGUCCAUACCCUGACCGCUGAGAGUUAGAUUAGUUUAAAAUUAAAUAAAUAGUUAUGCAUUAUUGUAAAAAACCCAGAAUUUUUUAUAACAGUAUAAUUUAUUUGUUUAUUCUUUAAUUGAAAUUUAGAUUAAUCUGAAGCUAACGCCUAAACUCUCUACCUGGCAAGUAAUGUUGCAAAGCCGAAAGUCAAGGGAAUUGACGGUGAAUCUUAACAGCUGUGGAUCAUAUGAUUUAAUCUGAUGCAACGCACUACAU